UAUCCCUCUGUGUGAUGAAGCCCUUUGUCUUCCUCUGUUUGUUGCCUGAUUGUCUGCUCACCUCCCUAUGUUUCCAUGAGUCAUGUUCCAGUACGACCUGGCAGUAGCAGCAUGUCCAGGGAGUACCCUGUGUUUUGUCCUAUGACAGCUGGGAUAAGCUUCAGCUGAGGUUCAAACACGGAGCCUUGUUAUUACGAUGGGACAAUGCUAACCUCUGCUAACUGCCAUGCCACCCAAGGCAAACCAUCUUCAAGUUAACAUGCAGAAAGAGAGCUCCAGAUAUGAAGAGGCAGUUUGAUUUGCCAAUGUCAGCUGGCCGUACUGUAGAAUCCCCAGUUGGGAGCUUAGCUGCUCUCAAUUAAAUCCACAGCCGAGCACUUUGAUGGUGGAGGGCUGCACUGUGAAUUAGCCUCUAUGUGAAGCUUUUGUGGCUCUGCCACCGGCUAAGUGCACUCACAAUGACCUCUUUCCUGUCCUCGAGCAGAGACAGAGAAAAUUAUAAUGAAAAGGCUGCAGUGUCACUAAAAAGUAUUUUAUUUUAUGCCAGUAUAACAUAAGACUGCAAAAGUGCCGUAAAUUAUAGGAAACCAAGUUCCUUAUCCAGUCAUAAUACCAUACAUCUGAAAAGCUGUCAUCAGCAAGUGAGUCUCUGAGCACGCUAGUGUUUCAUUUUCUUUAAUUGACAGAAUGAGGACGGGUCACUCGGCCUUUGCAGACCAGAUAACGGUGCAUACAGAGUACAAUUCCCUUCUCUAUUCAGACAUUUAAAGCUCUUCUUGUGCUUUUUAAAAAACAGAUUCAGUGUGUUUUUGUCACUCAUGUUCUUCAUCUGCUUGUCAUUCAGUUUAAACUCAAGAAAUAAAGAUGGAAGAUUCAAGAAAAUAUACGAGCCAACCCAUCACGAUGGAUGCACAAACACACCAUCAAGAUCCCACCAAGCUAAACGUAGGACAGUUUGAUAUUUUUGAAAGGCAGUUAGCAAGUGAAGGACAAAUAUUUUAUUUGAAUGCAUCCUCCUCACUGAACAUUGGAUAUCAGAUAGACGUGCAGAUCAUGUCUAUAUUGGGCCCGUCGGUCUAUGACCAAUCCUGCAUCUAUGUGACGCCAACCAUGACCCAACCCAACAUCUGAAUUUUGGACGGGGUAAUAUUUUUGGAUGUCAUGUGACCUGUGCAGGAAAUUUACAUGAUUAAUAAAUGUAAUAUUUUUUUAUUUACAAAUAUCAGCAUAAUUGUUAUCAACAUGAUACGUAUGAAUACAGAUUAUUCAGAUAGAUUUAUUAUGUGUUAGCCUUAUUCUGUACAUGUGGGUUUGUUUGGUUUUUUGUUGUUAUUAUUUUACAUUUUCCUGUUUUUCUUUCACUGGUUUAUUUAUUUCAAUUCAUCAACUUAAUUGUUUGUAACCAGAUUAAAACGGGUAUUUAUUAAAAUGUGUUGAAAUAUUAAAAACAUUGAAAUUAAGGU